AAAAAACAAAAAAACUGUUCUACUGUGAACCGGACGCAAAAAGAGUUGCCGAGUAAAAAGGAGAUAUAAACAGAGACUUCUUCCUGUCGUGUUGAAAACUUGGAAUCGGAAACGAUCCAGACGAUCCAACAGUUCACAACUACCGAAACCCUAAUCGAAUCGAUCUUUGAGAACUGUAGCGUGCGUUUCACCAUGGCCGAAAGCUCUUUCAAGAACGAAUAUCCUCAGGGAAUGACCCAAACAGAAGAGAACAAUCCACAUCGGACCCCGAUGAUUGUUGAGAAUGGUGCAAGCAUUGACAUUCCUGACAUUGGGAAAAAGA